rnacentral:rRNA from 1 species
AUACGGAGGAUGCGAGCGUUAUCCGGAUUUAUUGGGUUUAAAGGGAGCGUAGGUGGGAUAUUAAGUCAGCUGUGAAAGUUUGGGGCUCAACCUUAAAAUUGCAGUUGAUACUGGUUUCCUUGAGUACGGUACAGGUGGGCGGAAUUCGUGGUGUAGCGGUGAAAUGCUUAGAUAUCACGAAGAACUCUGAUCGCGAAGGCAGCUCACCGGGCCGGAACUGACACUGAUGCUCGAAAGUGCGGGUAUCAAACAGGAUUAGAUACCCUGGUAGUCCGCACAGUAAACGAUGAAUACUCGCUGUUUGCGAUACACGGUAAGCGGCCAAGCGAAAGCGUUAAGUAUUCCACCUGGGGAGUACGCCGGCAACGGUGAAACUCAAAUGAAUUGGCGGGG